UGGUGCGAAAUAUUGGGAAGUCGUAGUUUCGCGGAGAGACAUGCCGUGGGGUGACGUACUCUUGAAAGUCUUUGGAGCGAAAAUUCGUCUCGUCGAGCGUAACCCUGUCCUUAUUAGUACGUCCAUUUCGAUUUUAUCAACAUUUCCACACUUCUAUCUGCUUCAUACAAAUAAUUAUUGGCCGGUCACGGGACUGAAAGAAUAGGGGUUCACAUCACAGACGCCAUAGACGAUUAAUAAUCGAUAAUUCGAACUGAUACGAAAUGGACGCCGCAUUUACCAUACUUCGCAAACGAUUAGAUUAUCAACAUUCCUAGCUUUUCAUAACUUGUGCUUUUUCUUGUGCUUCGGAAAGGACGCAGUGAUGCUUCGAAACUAAGCAUGUUUAUCGCUCCUUUCUCUGUCUCCUGUCUCCUGUCUCCUGUCUCCUGUUUCCUAAAAGGACCAAGUGGGGCUUCAAAAGCUAAGAAUUUUUUUCUAUGAUGGAAUUACAUGGCUCCUCCUCGAUGGCGGUCUUCACGACGAUUUCCCCUGGGCUAUCACAGCAUCGAUGACUACGUUCCUCGCAUCUUAUCGUGAGUCGCAUGCAUUUUUGUUCCUCCGGUCACUCAAUCAUGUCGUAGGACGAAAGGUCCGAAUCGACACGGGUUACUGGUUGUAUUACGUAGAAUUUUUUGCGAGCACAGUAACCGCGGGUAUUUACUAUACCCGUGAGUAGCAACAUUUUCUUUUUCUGUGUAUAUUUAUUAGUUCAGGAUAGGUCUUCUUGCACGUCGCGUUUUUUUUUUCUUUUAUAUUAAUUACAUG